CUUCGCCGACGACGUGCGAAAUGGGAAGAACGUCUUGAUAAUAUAUAUUCUCUACAGCUGUCUGUGUUGGAGGUACAUAUUGAAAGAUCGUGAAAGAUUGGGUCCAGUUAGCUUGCUUGUACGAUUUCACCAUGCGGAGGAGACUUUCCUUUUCACCGUCGACGAUAGAUUCAUCACUUACGUCGCAAUAGGUUCAAUCCAUAGAUGCCGACUGAAGUCGUCAAUAACCAUCAAGAGAUAUCGCACUCCCGAAUUAUGUUUGGAUAGAGAUGUCAUGUCUGCCAAAUCAGCAUCGUACUGUUCACCUGGCCCGCCAACUUCAACACGUGCACGUUUGAAUGAGCGCCUAACUGGUUUUUGUAAACUAUAAUCAUCAAGACUCUGUAUAUAUCUUCUGAUCUUAUGUAUACCGAGGGUUUUAAUACCUUGCGAUUUCAAUAUUUGAUGAACCUCCACGGGACUGAGAAAUGCACAUCCAUUCUCCAAAUUAUAAUAUACGUCAUCUAUAAGUCGUCUCUCUUCCUCGGUCAACAUAUUUGAAAAAAAAAUGGGACAAAAACAUUUAUGUACAAACUUGUAUUAACAUUGAUACAUAUUACAACGUUUUGUGAAACCAAUCUUCUACACGAUUCAUGGACAUGACCAUUAUACCGACUUUCUCUUUCCAUUUUUCUGUUUUAAGUUCAU